rnacentral:lncRNA from 1 species
UUCGAGAACUAUGCAGACAUGACCUGAGUGACUCCUCGGUCAAUAUCCAAUAGCGGGACCUGGAUGACCAUAUUGGAUCCCACAUAUUCUACGAAGAUCUUAUCGUUUGAACCUCAGUGCCAAGGAUUCAUAUAAUACCGUAUGUCAUUCCCUUUGUCCUUCGGUAUGUUACUUGCCCGAGAUUCGAUCGUCAGUAUCCGCAUACCUAUUUCAAUCUCGUUUACC